AUUGAACGCUGGCGGCAUGCUUUACACAUGCAAGUCGAACGGUAACAGGCCGCAAGGUGCUGACGAGUGGCGAACGGGUGAGUAAUGCAUCGGAACGUGCCCAGUCGUGGGGGAUAACUACUCGAAAGAGUAGCUAAUACCGCAUACGAUCUAUGGAUGAAAGCGGGGGACCGUAAGGCCUCGCGCGAUUGGAGCGGCCGAUGUCAGAUUAGGUAGUUGGUGGGGUAAAGGCUCACCAAGCCAACGAUCUGUAGCUGGUCUGAGAGGACAACCAGCCACACUGGGACUGGGACACGGCCCAGACUCCUACGGGAGGCAGCAGUGGGGAAUUUUGGACAAUGGGGGCAAGCCUGAUCCAGCAAUGCCGCGGGCAGGAAGAAGGCCUGCGGGUUGUAAACUGCUUUUGUACGGAACGAAACGGCUCUGGUUAAUACCCGGGGCUAAUGACGGUACCGUAAGAAUAAGCACCGGCUAACUACGU
rnacentral:rRNA from 1 species